rnacentral:rRNA from 1 species
UACAGAGGGUGCGAGCGUUAAUCGGAAUUACUGGGCGUAAAGCGCGCGUAGGCGGCUUUGCAAGUCGGGUGUGAAAUCCCCAGGCUUAACCUGGGAACUGCAUUCGAGACUGCAUUGCUAGAGUAUGGGAGAGGGAAGUGGAAUUUCCGGUGUAGCGGUGAAAUGCGUAGAUAUCGGAAGGAACAUCAGUGGCGAAAGCGACUUCCUGAACCAAUACUGACGCUCAUGUGCGAAAGCGUGGGGAGCAAACAAG